CAGCCACAAGCUGGUCAAGAGGAAGCCGAAAGGCUGAGAGGAAAGCAGAGGGAGAAGUGAGUAGCGAAAGGGAAGAAGCGGCAGAGUGAGCGAGAAACAGGCUGAGGGACUGAGGCACAAGUGAGGCGGUUGCUGUGGGACAACAGGAGUGUCUGCUGCUGGCAGAACAGGGCUAGACAGACUCGAAUUCGUCUGUGGGGCUGCAGGACCCUCCUGCUUGGAUUCUGCACUUCUCAAGACUUAUCAUCAAAUGCCUCCAUGUGACAGGACCAAGCCUCCUGACCUCAGCCUUCUGGUAAAGUGUAUGGAAGCUCCCACAAUCUAGCUUCAACAUGAAAAUGGAGAACAUCUGGACUUCAUGAGCGGCUAAAAGCAGGAACUGAAACCAAGAACUGGAGAGCAUCUGGGAAUAAGAAGUUAAGGAGAGAAGGUAAAGUGUUUUACAGAAAAUUGUUCUUCCUGUACAUUUACCAGUGAAGUGGAUGCACUGUUUGCAGAUGCCAGUCUG